GAAUAGUCCCAUCAAAAGUUGAUUGUGAUGAAUUUGCAAACUCGAGGAAUAAAUAACCAAACUGGACAAAUUGUUCAAUUUAACUCUUUUUCCCACGUCUGUUACCUUGGCCCAAAUAUUGCAUUUCCUUAAAAAUCACCUGACUUCACUUAUUAAUGAAUACCUUUCAGUAUACAAACCUACUCAUAUAGAGCAGAUAUUCUGGUGUUAGAAUGUAU